rnacentral:hammerhead_ribozyme from 1 species
AUCCAGCUAACGAGUCCGAAAUAGGACAGACGCGCGUCCUGGAU